rnacentral:tRNA from 1 species
GGAUUGUAGCUCAGCGGUAGAGCAGUCCCCUAGCACAUGCGAGGCUCUGGGUUCAACCCUCAGCACCA